UUAACGCAAAUAUGUAUGGAAUUGGAAUGUUUUCCUAUGUUUGCCGCUAGGGGCGCUGUUCCAAUUGCAUACUUUGAGUUA
rnacentral:pre_miRNA from 1 species